AAGGAAUUUGAAAAGAGUAACACAAGAAGAGGGAGUUUGAAAAGAGUUACACAAGAAUAAGGAAGUUGAAAAGAGUUACACAGAAGAAGGUAUUGAAAAGAGUAACACAGAAGAAGGUAUUGAAAAGAGUAACACAGAAGAAGGUAUUGAAAAGAGUUACACAGAAGAAGGUAUUGAAAAGAGUUACACAGAAGAAGGUAUUGAAAAGAGUUACACAGAAGAAGGUAUUGAAAAGAGUAACACAGAAGAAGGUAUUGAAAAGAGUAACACAGAAGAAGGUAUUGAAAAGAGUUACACAGAAGAAGGUAUUGAAAAGAGUUACACAGAAGAAGGAAUUUGAAAAGAGUAACACAGAAGAAGGAAU